rnacentral:rRNA from 1 species
AUAAAGUGGGCGGAAUUCGUGGUGUAGCGGUGAAAUGCUUAGAUAUCACGAAGAACUCCGAUUGCGAAGGCAGCUCACUGGGGCGCAACUGACGCUGAAGCUCGAAAGCGCGGGUAUCGAACAGGAUUAGAUACCCUGGUAGUCCGCGCGGUAAACGAUGGAUGCCCGCUGUUGGGCCAACUGGUUCAGCGGCCAAGCGAAAGCAUUAAGCAUCCCACCUGGGGAGUACGCCGGCAACGGUGAAACUCAAAGGAAUUGACGGGGGCCCGCACAAGCGGAGGAACAUGUGGUUUAAUUCGAUGAUACGCGAGGAACCUUACCCGGGCUUGAAUUGCAGAGGAAGGAUUUGGAGACAAUGACGCCCUUCGGGGCCUCUGUGAAGGUGCUGCAUGGUUGUCGUCAGCUCGUGCCGUGAGGUGUCGGCUUAAGUGCCAUAACGAGCGCAACCCCUCUCCAUAGUUGCCAUCAGGUGAAGCUGGGCACUCUGUGGACACUGCCACCGUAAGGUGCGAGGAAGGUGGGGAUGACGUCAAAUCAGCACGGCCCUUACGUCCGGGGCUACACACGUGUUACAAUGGCAGGUACAGAGAGCCGGUCGUAUGCGAAUACGAUCCAAUCCUUAAAGCCUGUCUCAGUUCGGACUGGGGUCUGCAACCCGACCCCACGAAGCUGGAUUCGCUAGUAAUCGCGCAUCAGCCAUGGCGCGGUGAAUACGUUCCCGGGCCUUGUACACACCGCCCGUCAAGCCAUGAAAGCCGGGGGCGCCUGAAGUCCGUGACCGCAAGGAGCGGCCUAGGGCGAAACUGGUAAUUGGGGCUAAGUCGUAACAAGGUAGCCGUACACAGGAAGGUGCGGCUG